GAAGGGGAUUGUAACGGUCACGUUACAAAAUUAGCUCUUUAAUUAUUAUUAUAAUUAUUUUUCCUCGGUCUCCAUUUAAAUUCUCUAAUUUCUCGUAUAGGACUACUGGGGUGACGUCAUACCUCGGUGAUGGAACGUACUCCACCUAUCGAGAAUGAUUUCGUUUUCUGAGAGAGUUUGACGUUUACCUUGGCGGAGAAGCGCCUCUCGUUCUUUACUUGACUGUUGGCUGUUGUGUCGAAUAGAGGUACCAUAUAGAAUGGCGGAUGAUUUCAUCCAACUUAUUUUAUAACAUCAAGCAAUUUAAAGUAAAGUAAAAAGUUACCACCAAGGAUUGUCUGGAGUGAGGAGACAUGUGGGUGACAACUCCUGUUGGAGUCUAAAUAGGAAUCAUUCGCCAUUUGGGAGAAACCCUACCAUGAAGUCAUAGACCUUAUUUGACCACCUAGAGAAACCACUACAGCCACAGUCAAGUCAUCAUGGGAGUAUGUCUAAUUGGGAGCAAGCUAUGGGAGCGUUCCAGCUCAGUUUUCGUCUUGGCACCUGGGCCUACAGGAGUCAUGGGUCGCACCAUCCUGGUGCAUCAUUUUCUAGGAUGCAACCGCAACCUUUUUAGGAAUCAUUGGGAUUCGUUUGGAAACAAUUAGUGUGUUUUAGUAACUAUUGGUUUUUUUUUACAUUUCAGACUCUCGGUUUAAUGCGCUAUGUUAAUUAAUUUUUUUUCCAGAUUUAGUUUACCUCUGGUUUUUUUUUUAAUAUAUUUGUAUAUUAGAUUAUUUGGUUCCCAAACUUUGUAUCUACGGUAACUUCUUGUGCACAGGAAUAAGCCUAGAGAAAAUUAGGUUUUUAAUACUUUAUUAUUGCUUUGAUAUUGGUUUAUGUAAUUCGGGUAAAUUUAUUUUUUUUAAUAUUACUAGCUUGUUUCCCAAAUAUUUUACUGUUAUUCGCUUUAUUCCAUUUGUUCGGUUAAUUUAGGUCAUCGUCGGUAUUUAUCUCAACUUCAUUUCUACUUUAGUCAAUUGUAUAUUUAACUUUAUCUAUUCAUUAUUGUAUUUUCCCUUAGUGAGGCUUGGGCCUAUUUAUUUGUAGUAUUUUCAUCUUUGUCAGUUUCAUUUAGUUGUACGUAGCAGGCGUACUAUAACCAUUUGGUAGAAGACUUAUGUAAUUUUGUACCCUAUAUGUUAGUGAGAGGUACUUAUACCUGUAAUUUUGUAACAGAUAACAUUAUUGUUGUUAUCUUAGAGAUAACUUUUUGUAUAACUUAUGUCAUUUUAGAGUCACAUGAUAUACACUUUGUGUAACUCAGAGAUUGUCAAAAAUCUAGUAGUUAUUUUUAAUAAAUAUGUAUUUAUUUUGUA